GAUUAAAAUUUUCAUUCAUUUAUAUUGUUAGAAACUAACGUGGUCAACAUAUUAACUAGACAAUUAUACAUUAUAUGCCAUGUGUAUCUCAUGUCAACGUACAAGGAGCAAUUUUUAACAAUAAAAAUCAAUAAAAUUUUUAAUA
rfam:Gossypium hirsutum cultivar TM-1 chromosome 12, whole genome shotgun sequence